rnacentral:snoRNA from 1 species
AAACCAUACAUCGGGCAUUUUCUAAUUAAUGCCUUGAAACAUUCCUAAGCUUCAUAUAAUGUCUCACCUUCAAAUUGCCUCAACGAUGUAAUGUCAUUCCUCAGCUU